rnacentral:rRNA from 1 species
AUGUGCUGCGGCCAUGAUCCAUCAUCUGUAGUGGUUUUGUAUGCAGGGUUUGUUAGGUUGGCAGCGUCAAGCUUGUUUGUGUCAAGAACCUUGAAGGAUGAUAGGUUUGCAAGGCUGCUUGUGAAUGAGACCGUCUGGAUUCGUGACACCAUGACGUCUCUGUCAAGUUUGCUCCUGUUAUCUUUUAUCAUUUCGUCGUUUGCAAGUUCAAGCCAAGAUUGUGGGCAUUUUUUGUUUCUUUCAUUUUGUUAUUCACCCCUUUCUUGGAUAGUAAUCAUAAUACUAUACUAUGUGGAAGCCAAGGUAACACAUUGGCCAAUUUAG